UGUAACACAUAUAUCGUUUUCUUCUUCUUCUUUUGUGAAUCGUCGAAACAAGGGAUGCGCGUCGAGAUGUUGAGCCAUCCAAACAUGUAGCUCUUCCACGUCUGUAAUGGUAUAAAGCGUUCCAUGGGGUCGAAUGAAAUAAGCAUACUCACUUGCCAAAGUACUUGUGAUAAUUCUAUUUUUAUGUUUACGAGCCUUGAAGUGAGGAUCUGGAAAGCAGAAAAACAUUUUUGAGAGUUGCCCUUUUUCGAAGAAAUUUGGAAGGAACUUUUGGCAAUUCAUACGAAGAACAGAAAUGUUUUUGUAUCCCCCUGGAACCGGCUCUUCAUGAUCUGCACGAUAACGCAAUGCUUGUAUCUUUUCUUUCAAAUAGUCUGAAACUUGCAUCCGGAUUUCCAUGCCUAAAACUAAUGUAUCAGGAAACUGGGGACCAAGUGCAACAGUAAGACCCCCGUAGCCGCAUCCUAUGUCUACGAUCUCGACCUUUUUGUUAGAUUCAACAUCAAAAUCAGGAUAAUAAGGACUCCAAUCCAUUUCAGACGGACUUCUUGGACUGCGAGAGUUAGCAACAACCAAAUUUUUAAAAAUAAAAUAGAAGGUAAUCCCAAAUUAUAUAAAAAAUAUAUGUAAAAAGAGUUUAUCGGUCACAGUUCUCAGCCAAACACAACUACUGUAUAUAAACUUACUACUCAAGUUCAUGAUCCGAAAGGACAUUUGCAUGCGCUCUUUGACGAAACAAACGUUUCUGUAAACAAUAUUAGUUAAAAGUCAAUACACAAGAUAAUUUUGUAUGAGAACAUACCAUGGGCAAUCGCCCCUCCACACCUCCUUGCUUGGACAAACGUUUCAGCUUCUUCCUUGCCUCCUCUUCUUCCCUUUGCAAUUGUGCUGCAGAUUUUUUGGCUGUAGCAGACAUUUUCUCUCUUUAGUUGAGCACACGAAAACCCCAAAAGGUAAAGGUUUAGUAAACUAGCUGUGCUGUAGUAAAAAUUUGACUGAGACCAAAAAAUUUGUAUUCAAAUCAGCUCAGUGUAAAAUUUAUC